GAAAGUUGGCGAGGGGGUUGCGAGUUCGUCCUUGAGGCGCAUUCGAGGAAAGUCCGGGCUCCCCAAAGAUCAAACUUGCUGGGUAACGCCCAGUGCGUGCGAGCGUGAGGAUAGUGCCACAGAAAAAUACCGCAUUUUUGGGGGGUUUCCCUCAAAAGUGUAAGGGUGCAAAGGUGCGGUAAGAGCGCACCAGCAGCAUCGUGAGGUGCUGGCUCGGUAAACCCCGGUUGGGAGCAAGGUCGCAGGGACUAAGGUUGAUCUUUUCCCCGUCCCGUUUUUGGAGAACCGCUUGAGACGUUUGGUAACAACCGUCCUAGAUAGAUAACUCCCCCCAAUGAGUUAAUACUCAAUGGGAACAGAACCCGGCUUAUGUCUAACUUUCUCCU
rfam:Cyanothece sp. PCC 8801, complete genome.